UGUUUGGCCAGUGUAGAAGUGUUGAUAAAUUAUGUGCAACCCCUGAUGUGCAUAAAUUACCUGUUUUGUUCAAUAAAAAGUCCACUUAGCAAUUAGAUUUUCUGGAAUCUUGUAAGCUUGAGGUGUAGACUAGCAGACCAACUGUUGUUCUUUACCAAAUAAUGAUUGUUUACACACUGACCAUAAUGAGAGAUUUAGUUUCCCUUAAGCCAUAGAAGCAACCAUCUUCCCAUUCCUCUACCUUUUAAAUGUAGUCCUUCCAAGGUUACACUACAUUGUAUGCCUCUUUUUAGGAAGCCUAAUUAAAUGCAAUCACCCAUUACCCAAUGUCCAUGUGUCUGAACGAUGCCCUCUUUGCUUUAGUAGAAGAAUGGAGGGGAGCAGUUAGACUACUGACUCUCCAGUCCCAUUUCCUUCUUCUGAUUCUGCCAUAGUAGCUCUUGAUUUAUCUUGUUUACAACUUUCAAACUUUGGAAGUCUCCUUAUUAUCAAAGGCCUUGCCACUUACGCACAGGAAGCAUGACUGCACAGCACUGGGGUCUGUGGUUAACCUGCACUAUUUGGAUAUCUCCAGGGAGGGAGGAAAGGACAGCGGUUUGAGCUCCGUGGAAAUCCUGCCUGGUGACCUAGAACCCAGGCAUUGGUUGAGACCCUUUGUGGUGUUAGCUCACGCCUCUCUAGCUUAAACUUAAAAAACAAAAACAGAAACAUUUUUUUUUGAGUUUUGCUACUAAGGCAUAUUGCUAUUUGCUCCUUUCUUAAUACAAUGUCUUAAGUGUAACCCUAUGCUUGAGCACCAAAUAAGCGUCUUUAUGAAGUCAUAGGCAAAUUCAGUAACAUCCCUCCCCAAAUCUUACUUUUACUUCCACUCUGUUGAAAGACAGUAAGGUUUCUAUGGGAAGUGAAGAAUGACUUCAGGAACUCCAAAUGAUCCUCCUUCCUGGGAUACCCUUCACUGAUCGAAAUUUCUCCCGGGCUUUAAGCCAAGAUCAACCAACAUCCAGCACAUCAGACGAGUCCUUUCUGCCUCUACCAGCCUUCAGGGAUAAACCACUUUUUGAAACAUUGACUCGGAGGUAUUUCUCUACAUUUCAGCCUUUAAUGGUGUUUUGAUGUUCUGUGCCUUAUCAGCAAUGUUAAGGGAAUUAUCGUCUUGUUGUUCUAUCUGCACUUUGCUCCAUCAAAACUAUUCUCGGGGAAGAAUCUAACAAGUAUGUUUAUAUUAAAACAUAAAAAGCACAUACAAAUUAAUGUAUCAACUCCUUGCAAGAUCUUUUCAUUUCAAAAGAUAAGAAGAUUUAGGUCAAAGUAAUGAAUCUCUAAUUGUGGAAUUUCAGGCAUUGAUGGAAUUUUAAUAGGUCAGUAAUAACCAGGGGUAUAUAUCAUAGGGUUUUUCAUUUGUCCAUUCAUUGAUUCAUUUAUAUUUUCAAGGUGUAUUUUGUAAAAGUUAUUUCAUUGUUAAGUAAUCCUUACAUUUAAGUAAGAAAAUCCUAUUUUUA
rnacentral:lncRNA from 1 species